UACGUAGGGUGCGAGCGUUGUCCGGAAUUACUGGGCGUAAAGAGCUCGUAGGUGGUUUGUCGCGUUGUCCGUGAAAACUCACAACUCAAUUGUGGGCGUGCGGGCGAUACGGGCAGACUGGAGUACUGCAGGGGAGACUGGAAUUCCUGGUGUAGCGGUGGAAUGCGCAGAUAUCAGGAGGAACACCGGUGGCGAAGGCGGGUCUCUGGGCCGGUACUGACGCUGAGGAGCGAAAGCGUGGGGAGCAAACAGG
rnacentral:rRNA from 1 species